UUAAAGCUGCUGCAAGAGGCUGGGGUGGCCAGGGACCUGCCACUUGCAGGGUUUUGAAGGACAGAAUGAAGAAUAAUGAAGAGGCAUGAUCUUUAUCAAACGUGAUUUAUUUCUCAGCCAUAUGGAUAGUAUUCUCACUGUGGAAGUUAUUUGAUAUCAAUGAUUUGGGUCAUACAAAAUGUUCUAUGCAAUCCAUUUGAAAGAAAAGAAGUAUCAUAUCUCCUAAAUUACC
rnacentral:lncRNA from 1 species